rnacentral:rRNA from 1 species
AUUGAACGCUGGCGGCAUGCCUUACACAUGCAAGUCGAACGGUAACAGGUCUUCGGAUGCUGACGAGUGGCGAACGGGUGAGUAAUACAUCGGAACGUGCCCGAACGUGGGGGAUAACGGAGCGAAAGCUUUGCUAAUACCGCAUAAGAUCUACGGAUGAAAGCAGGGGACAGCAAGGCCUUGCCGCGCAGGAGCGGCCGAUGGCAGAUUAGGUAGUUGGUGGGAUAAAAGCUUACCAAGCCGACGAUCUGUAGCUGGUCUAAGAGGACGACCAGCCACACUGGGACUGAGAGACGGCCCAGACUCCUACGGGAGGCAGCAGUGGGGAAUUUUGGACAAUGGGCGAAAGCCUGAUCCAGCCAUGCCGCGUGCAGGAUGAAGGCCUUCGGGUUGUAAACUGCUUUUGUACGGAACGAAAAGCCUCUUUCUAAUAAAGAGAGGUCAUGACGGUACCGUAAGAAUAAGCACCGGCUAACUACGUGCCAGCCGCCGCGGUAAAAC